GUGGGAAGAAGACCCUAUGGAGCUUUAAUUAACUAAUCCAAAAAAAAUAAUAAUAAUAAACAAUAACCAAACCUUAGAGGGGAUAACAAAGAUUUUAAUGGAUUAAGAAUUUUUGGUGGGGUGAUCUCAGAAAAUAAAAUAACUUCUGAGUGAUUAAAAUUUAGACCAACUGGUCAAAAUGCCUAAUCACUUACUGACCCAAAAUACUGAUCAAGAGAACAAGUUACUCUAGGGAUAGCAGAAGGAUCCUACUCUAGAGUUUAUAUCGAAAAUAGGGUUUAGGACCUCACUGUUGAAUCAGGACAACCCAAUGAUGUAACUGCUAUUAAUCGUUCAUUAGUUCAACGAUUAGUCUUAAGUGAUCUGAGUUGAGAUUCAAGUAGUCCAGAUAGGUUUCUAUCUAU
rnacentral:ncRNA from 1 species